ACUCGAGAAGAAUCUUUACAAACAACGUCGUAGCAUAUGUAUCAUGUUACUUAACACAUUGCACCCAACAGUGUAUUAAUUGAACACUUCCAUCAGACAUUUUCACCGAGGGCAGGUGUGUUCAAAUAUACAUUCUAGCUGAGAGAAUUAUUGCCUUUGGAGGUCUCCUUGGACUCAGCACUAGUCCCUGUUUGCAAGCAAAACAACUGGUUUCUCACUGUUUAUACUGAGGUGUAUACUACAUGAAUACAGAACGCAAUAUGAGACUAAAGACGUCUAUAGCAAUGUUAUGUUUGUUUUUAUUCGCCUCAAUUAUUUCUCUCCGAGAAGUUACCGGGCAAGG